AUGUGAGCCCUUGGACGAGGGGAGGGUCUCCCUCCCACUCCCCCCUGCCACAGUCCCCUCUCCCCUGCUCCCACACCUCCCGCCGGCCAAAUCCAUUGGAUAGGCCAGGAGAAAGCUAAAAAAGGAAUAACCCAAAGAAAAACAAACAAACAAACAAACAACAAAAAAACCACACCCCAAAUGGGAGUUGUUUUCAGCAGGCUUCACGAGCCAAACUGGCUGUCCAGGGGCUGAAAUACACCCUCGGCACAGGAUGACUGAGCAAGGCAACAUCCCAGCUCCCUCCCAGUCGGCUGGGGGGGCCGGAGCAAAGAGCCCUGACAGCCAACACCACCAGUGGGAAGGAGCAGGAGAGCUGGUUAUGGGAUUGGCAUUCCCAAAGGAAUGGCGGGCUGGCGAGGCGACGAGCCAAGAACCCCGUCUGCAUCACAGCGGAUACGGCGGUUAAGCGUGAAGGUGUCCACUUCUUUAUAAACAAAACUUGGGUUAGGAUGAGGGAAUUAAAAAAAAGAAAGACGCCCCGGAGUGAUUCCCAAGGUAAAUCUAAAUAUUUCCAGGUUUGCUCACCCCUGUGGGUUCGGUGUACGCUGUAGCUGCUCAACCCGUGGGGCGUUUCAAAGCACUCCACAAGCCUCUGUGCCAAAAUAAAUGUUACUUUACCACCAAGCAGGCAGAAGAAUGAAAGCACUAAGAUGUGUGAGUGAGAAAAAAAGAGCCCAAACAGGAAAAACGCUUUCUUCUGAUUUUAAAGUCCUGGAUGAUCAAGGCUGUUCUGCUCACUCUGAUGUAAUCUGUUUGCAGAUACCCAAAUACAUGUCCAGCCAUGGAAAGUGCUCUCCCUUUGAUUACAGCAAAAUCCUUUCUAAUUCUCUUUAAAUGUUCCAGGGCUUUUUGAAAUGAUUGCUAUCAAUGCCAACCAAAUGCUUUAGAUCUCUCUUUUUUUUUUUUAAUUCCCUGUCUUUAAACACUUGCCUUAUUUUUAUGAAGCCUGGUUACUGCUGUACAUGGUAAAAGUAUCUCAAAAAGAGAUCUGGUUUGCUUUAGCCUUUAUACCAUAUAGAGUUAGACACUUUAACCUUCUUCAUAUUUACUUAGUUACUUUAAUAUGAUUUCUGUAACUCCUAUACUUUCUUUUUUUCCAUAUAACUUAUUAAAUAUUUAUAACACGGUAGCCCAAACACAUCACGUAGGUCAGACUUUCAUUACAUUAGGCUAGCCAUAGCUAUCUAGUAAAUCGUAAGUCACAUUCUGUCUAAAAGUUAAAAAAACAGGAUUGUUCAGGUGAGCUCAGACUGAGUUUGUGAAGGGCUGGCUUAAAAAAAAAGCUAAGCUGGUUAAAACAAUAGAUAGACUUGUUUAACCAGAAAAUAAUAGAUCCCCUAAGGCAUUAGAUUUGCAGCAUCUACCACGGGUAGGAACAGUGCUACAUGGUCUGUUAUUCUCUUUGUGCUCUUUAGUUGCUCUGAGGUGGGUACACAACCAUCAUUCAGAGCAUUUUUCCAUUGCUAUGAUGCCUCCUCCAGCUCAGCUUUAAACAGGCGUUGAGAUGAGAUCUCCAAGUCCUCUACAAAUCCAUGAGAUUAAAAGAGAGCAAGAUUCAGGUCAGCUUUGGGGGUACGUUAUUCCACUUUGUUUUUUUAAUUUUUAGUAUUUAAUUAGAAGAUUAAAGGAGCAGGAAUCUAGAAGAAAUCUAGAAGAAAGGAGCAGAAUAUAGAAGGAAGAAACAAACAAACAAACAAGCGUGACUUGUAAGAAAGCCUCAAUGCCUGUCUUGUAGUUGCGCAUUUCACCUUGAAAUUAGUCAUAAAAUUUUACAAGCAAAAUAUUGUGCAAGCAGAUUUUUUUUCCUGGCCAUUUUAUUCAAUGCCUUUUGGAUCUCAUCAGCUUUUGUUGCAAGCCAAUGCUGCUUCUUCAUGCUGUACACUGUUUGAACAAAUGAUGUCCCAAACAGGACUAAGGGGAAGAAGACUCCUCCAUACCAUGCCCCACCACCAUGCCUGUGCCUGACAGAGGGACACAAGCAAUAUGCCUGGGAACUCAGCGCAGCAGUCAAGGGCUGUGGGUGCUGGUGACCCUGCUCAUGCCAUGUCAUGGCCUACAGCUCCUGCAGCUGCAAGAGUAGAAUCACAGAAUCAUCUCGGUUGGAAGACACCCUUGAGAUCAUUGAGUCCAACCAUAACUUAACUCUGGCACUAAACCAUGUCCCUAAGAAUCUCAUCUACACAUCUUUUAAACACCUCCAGGGAUGGUGAUUCAACCAUUUCCCUGGACAGUCGGUUCCAAUGCCCGACAACCCUUUCCGUGAAGAAAUUUUUCCUAAUAUCCAAUGCAAACCUCCCAUGGAGCAACCUGAGGCAAUUUCCUCUUGUCCUAUCACUUGCUACUUGGGAGAAGAGACCAAUCCCCUCCAUGCUACAACCUCCUUUCAGGUAGUUGUAGACAGCAAUAAGGUCUCCCCUCAGCCUCCUUUUCUCCAGGCUAAGCCACCCCAGUUCCCUCACCCACUUCUCAUCAGACUUGUGCUCCAGACCCCUCAAUGUGGAUGGUGCCGCUGUUUUUUGCAUGGCCAUAUCUCCCUUCAGUCCAUCCCCUUACAGAGCCAUGGCCAGGAACCUUUUAUCCUCAGUCCCCUGCUGCAGUUCCAGUGCCCCACACCCCCCAUCCCAGUAUGAUACUAGGUGCCUGGCUAUAAAAAAACACCCCCCCUACCCCAGCUAAGUCCACCCCACCUCAGUGUGCCUGCCUGGAGUGACGGUGAGAUCUCCAGCGCCCGAUCCCUUCUGUCCUCAGGCAGGUUUGCAUAUAUGUGCGCUGGGUUCCCAGACCUGACAUCAAGCUCAGAAGGAAAAAAAACCCCUCUUCCAAGCUUCCCAACAGGAUCAGUUUUGCAGCUCAUGUUCUUUCACGCACUAUUUGUUAUGCUGUUAUUAAAGAACAUCUUGCCGACAACUGGAGAAGAAAUACGCUCCCCCAACUGCGAUGCUUCCUCUGCCCAGCUCUGGAGCAGGAACCAGGUGGCUGGGGCUGAGAGUGGCUGCCUCUCACCCACCUUCCUCCAGAUAAACUUUCCCUUUAGCAUGAAAAAUGUUCAUUUUUUCUUCCUCUUUCUUCUUGCUGUCAACACUACUUGGAAUGCUAGAAUGAGAGACAUUCAUGUUUCGGAUUUUUUUUAAACUUCUUUUCUCUUUUAAACUCCUCUUCUUCUCCUUCCCCACUCUUCCUCCUUUCCCUAGCUCCCUUAAUUUUACCCUAUCCUGCCUUCCCCACUCUGGAAAAAACAUAUAUGAAACUCUAUAAUUGCCUGUGUGGUUUCAAAAAUAAAACCAGGACUAAUCAAAAAAGAUGGUGAAAUUCUUCAUUUGGGAGGAAGGCAGGAGGAUUUCUUCUUCUUCUGCUGCUGCAAAUUCUUGCUCGGUUGUAGGGCUGGGUUUUUUGCUUCCCUGGUUAGUUUUCAGAGUUAAUGCUGGUAUUUAACACACUGAGUUGCAUGUUCGAGGUGUGCCUGCCCUGGUUUCAUGAUUUAGGCUGCAAAGCAUCAGGGCUCCACAGCACUAAGGUCCUCAGGUCCACAGCUGGCACAAAAGCCCAUGUCACGAUGACACCUGUGUGAACCACGCAACACAAAAGUGCCAGUGCACAUUAUACGGUGUGAGUAUACAUAGAGAAACUGCAUGUUUGCAUUUCAUCAGCUACAGGUGUCAAAGCAGGGCUAA